rfam:TPA: Bos taurus chromosome 17, whole genome shotgun sequence.
UCCCUGGUGGUCCAGUGGUUAAGACUCUGCCUCCCAAUGCAGGGGACACAGGUUCAAUCCCUGGCUGGGGAG